GAAGAAGAAAGCUGCUCAAUGAGGACCAAGAGCAUGUCAUUGCUGACAAUGCAAUAAAACUCAGAGAAAUUCAGGCCAGAAUUGUACAGGACAACCUGGUAUUCCAGAAUGUGGAAAGCAUCAGCCUGGCUACCAUCGCUCGAACUCUGAACAAACAGAAUUUGAAUGAAACAGCUGUACACAGUGCCCUUUGAAAGAAACAGUGAGCGGGACAAGGAACUCAGACAUCAAUAUGUCCAGAGUUAUGGAGUUGGAGGCUAAUCAGACACCACAUUAAUUAAUUUAUGUAGACGAGGCAGGAUUUAACCUGGCAAAAACUCGUAGACGAGGAAGAAAACUAAUUAGGAAAAGGGCCACUGCUGAUGUUCCGGAUGACUUCCACCAACAACUGGUGCCAGAAGCAGAAAGGGAGCAAGUGGGAGGGAACAUGAGGACAUUUGUGAUUGUAUGGGACAACGUAACAUUCCACCAUUCACAUGCAAUCACAAAUUGACAUCUCAGCUGAAGACUGCCAGGGGUGGAUAAGGCAUGCUAAGAGUUUCUAUCCAAGGUGCAUAGAAAGAGAAAAUAUAAGGUGUGAUGCCGAUGAGAACAUGUGGCC